GCCGGCGUGGCGCAAUUGGUUAGCGCGUCAGACUUUUACGACGGAAACGUCAGAUAAGGUAUCUGAAUGUUGCGAGUUCGAGUCUCGCCGUUGGCG